CUUCAAGAUGGCUCAUGAGCGUCUGCUUCCGGCCACCUCCCUGCGGGCUCUCCUGGAAGCCUUUCUCAUCUCUGCCCUGGAUCACUGUGCUGGCCCCUGGCUGUGCUCUCUGCUUCCCGCUGGUCACUGUGGUGGUCAUCGGUGUGGUUCACAGCACCCCAGUUUUCAUACGAUGGCAGGCUCACACUCCCCACCUGCUUCUGGAGUCCACUGUGGCCAGGCGACACACUUUGACCGGUGAAAUGCUGACCCACGUGCGGAGCCCUCAGUGCAAAGUCCUCUCUGCUCCCCAAGCCUGCAAUCCCAGCCGCAGCCCCGGGGCCUGGAAACUCCGGCCGAUUUAUUAAAGCGUCCUCCCUGUCUGCCACCAUCAGGCUAGAAUUGUUCCGAACAAAAGAAGCAUGAAUUGCUGGAAACUAUAUAUUAAAUGCAAGACUAUUUGUCUAGUUUUCAUUGGGUGCUGAGUGAAGAGCCUCAACUCCUCGUAUUCCCAUGGUACUCAGAUGUCCGCGGAGUCCGCUGCUCCUCACACUGUCAUUUCUCUCACUGGGCACAAUCCGGCUUUAAAGAAUCCGACACUUACUGGUCUUUAUGGAACUGUCAGCAGUGACAGCAACCAGGGACACUGCCAUGUCUUGCUGUUUACAAAGGAUGAGCACAACAAGGCAUCUCGAUGACUUGAUAAGCCCUGAGCUCCUCUCUCCCCAACUCUGGCCUCUCUGGACCAGCGGCCUUUGCAUGGCCAGCUAAAGACACAAGAAUUAAAACUUGAUCCAAACACUAACAAGUCUGCAACCACGGCCAUGAAGAUAAAGUAGGGCUGCUCAAGGUUGCUUGGUAAACAGCGAAAACAGAGAAACAGGAGGAUCCUUAUAUGCACAGGUUGUUGUUGAAUAUGAUUCUCAUCUUGGUCUUUCAUCUCUGGCCAACUUUUGGUGACAAUUCCUAACUUCUGGCAAGUCAGUUCAAUGUAAUAAACAUUUAUGAAAUGCCUGUCUUGUUUGAGGCACUGUGCUGGCCCCAGGACCAUUAUUGGAGUGGUUUAGAAGGAGAUGGCAAUGUCUACAAUAAAGAAUACGGAUCAAAUUGGAACAACUCAUUGUAAUAAAGGGAGGUUUGGUAAAUGAACUAUGAUGAGAACUUGAAGAAAAGAAGGUUGAAGGAGAAGACAGUGAGUGGUGAAAUGACAUUUUAACAGGCUUUGCUGAACCCUGAAACAGUCUGACUCCUCAAAGGAAAAGAAGAAAAGCUAGAUCUGCUCUCCAUCGUUUUUGUAUGCAGGUCUAUUCUAUCCCAAUCUCAAGGUGUUUUGAGGUGUAACCUAAGCCUUACUCAAGAUAGAGUCUUCCGUACCUUCCCCUCCUCUGAUUCUACCGUUGAGGUUGAAGCCAUGUGAAAUCCUUUUUAAUGCAUAUAGGAUUCUCAGAGUUACUCACAACUAGCCUUUUGAGAGGUAGAAGUGUAGCCAAAAUGGAUGCUUGGAUU
ensembl:lncRNA